rnacentral:rRNA from 1 species
GACGAACGCUGGCGGCGUGCUUAACACAUGCAAGUCGAACGGUGAACCUCUUCGGAGGGGAUCAGUGGCGAACGGGUGAGUAACACGUGGGCAACCUGCCCCCGGCUCUGGGAUAACUCCAAGAAAUUGGGGCUAAUACCGGAUGUUCACCGCUUCCCGCAUGGGUGGUGGUGGAAAGGGUUUCCGGCUGGGGAUGGGCCCGCGGCCUAUCAGCUUGUUGGUGGGGUAGUGGCCUACCAAGGCGACGACGGGUAGCCGGCCUGAGAGGGUGACCGGCCACACUGGGACUGAGACACGGCCCAGACUCCUACGGGAGGCAGCAGUGGGGAAUAUUGCGCAAUGGGCGGAAGCCUGACGCAGCGACGCCGCGUGGGGGAUGACGGCCUUGGGGUUGUAAACCUCUUUCAGCAGGGACGAAGCGCAAGUGACGGUACCUGCAGAAGAAGCACCGGCCAACUACGUG